AUGGGGUGUACCCCCCCCCCCCCGUCCACUGCGGUUCUGAGCGCGCCGUCCGCGCCCACCUGACAGCUGCUCGCGACGUUGUGUUAACC
rnacentral:sRNA from 1 species